UCCAUGGAGCUUGCUCCGGAAGAUCUAGUGGCGAACGGGUGCGUAACACGUGAGAAACCUGCCCCGAUCUCUGGGAUAACAGUUGGAAACGACUGCUAAUACCGGAUGCCGUCACACCGCUUCAUGGCGGAGUGCCGAAAGAUUUAUCGGAUUGGGAGGGUCUCGCGGCCUAUCAGCUAGUUGGAGAGGUAACGGCUCACCAAGGCAUCGACGGGUAGCUGGUCUGAGAGGAUGAUCAGCCACACUGGGACUGAGACACGGCCCAGACUCCUACGGGAGGCAGCAGUGGGGAAUCUUGCACAAUGGGCGAAAGCCUGAUGCAGCAACGCCGCGUGCGGGACGAAGGCCCUAGGGUUGUAAACCGCUUUCAGUAGGGAAGAAAAUGACGGUACCUACAGAAGAAGGUGCGGCCAACUACGUGCCAGCAGCCGCGGUGACACGUAGGCACCAAGCGUUAUCCGGAUUUAUUGGGCGUAAAGAGCUCGUAGGCGGUUUGGUAAGUCGGGUGUGAAAACUCUGGGCUCAACCCAGAGAGGCCACCCGAUACUGCUAUGACUAGGGUACGGUAGGGGAGCGGGGAAUUCAUGGUGUAGCGGUGAAAUGCGCAGAUAUCAUGAGGAACACCAGCGGCGAAGGCGCCGCUCUGGGCCGUAACUGACGCUGAGGAGCGAAAGCAUGGGUAGCAAACAGGAUAGAUACCCUGGUAGUCCAUGCCGUAAACGUUGGGCACUAGUGUGGGUCUCACCAACGAGAUCC
rnacentral:rRNA from 1 species